UACAGAGGGGGCAAGCGUUGUUCGGAAUUACUGGGCGUAAAGGGCGCGUAGGCGGCCUUCUAAGUCGAACGUGAAAUCCCCGGGCUCAACCCGGGAACUGCGUCCGAUACUGGAAGGCUUGAAUCCGGGAGAGGGAUGCGGAAUUCCAGGUGUAGCGCUGAAAUGCGUAGAUAUCUGGAGGAACACCGGUGGCGAAGGCGGCAUCCUGGACCGGCAUUGACGCUGAGGCGCGAAAGCCAGGGGAGCAAACGGG
rnacentral:rRNA from 1 species